CUCAUCAUAGGACUAUAGAACACCUCCCAUACCCUGACACCAUACCACCACAUCAGCAAGGCUCCUGUGUAGUAACAGAGGAAUAAAAUGGAAAGAACUGAGCAUCUCAGACCUUAUUUAAGAAGAAGGCUGUAGAGAAACUCAAAGAUAACAGGGGAGACAAAAACAUGGACACCAGAGAAAAUUUUAGCUUCGGAAAACACUCUAGCAAACAAUAAAGACGGCCCAUCAUUAAAGUCGCCAGGUCAACCAGAUGUAGCCUCUGUAGGUGUUGGCCUUGGCGACCAGCUUGGGAUCAGUAUGGUUCGCCAGAUGGCCCCCACUGGCACCAGUCUUGGUUGGGUUCACCAGAUGUUGCCUGUGGGCUACUGUUUUAUUUUAUUUUUCUAUUUCCAUCUUUGGACAGAGAGCUACUAUUCUUUUAAUGGACGUGAAAUGGUGAAGGCACACAAGCAUAUUGCUGUCAUUGUUUUCUUGCUUUCCUAAAUUACUUUUACCAGUGGUAUAUCUUUUUUUAAAAGCUAUCUACUUGGAGAUGGUGUGUCUUGAUUGACAUCUCAUGGAGAAGUGGAUGGGGAAAAUACUGGUUCUGUGGAAAGACUCUCUCCGUUAGUGGCUUGCUUAUCCAGCUCUGAUCUUUCUGUUCCAGGACUCUCCCUGUUUCAACAACAGCAACAACAUGAUAAUAACAAACCUCACAUAUGUUGUUCCACUGGAUAAUUGUAAUUUUUUAAAAUAAAUCGUUGUAAAACCAA
rnacentral:sRNA from 1 species